UCUAAGGAAAAAUCUGCAAACGACUGAAGCCGAGAACUCUGAACCACAACUUCGUGGGGUAAUUAAAAGCACUUCAUAAGUUUCAAAGGCUUUUUAUUGACAAUUACAUUAAGUUUAUGCAUAGUCCAUAUUUGCAGUGUUGGCCCUUCUCUCUUUUUCAAGAUCUCUGCAGUUCGCUCUGGCAGGCUGUCAGACACUUUCUGGGCCAAAUCCUGACUGAUGGCAGCCCAUUCUUGCAUAGUCAAUGCUUGGAGUUUGUCAUGAUUGGUGGGUUUUUGUUUGUCCAACCGCCUCUUGAGGAUUGACUACAAGUUCUCAAUAGGCAGUUUUCUGACCAUUGACCCCAAAUUUCACUGUUUUGUUCCCCAAGCCUCUUAGUUCUCACUUUUGCCUUAUGGUCUGGUGCUCCAUCAUACUGGAAAAGGCAUUGUGCGUCACCAAACUGUUCUUGGAUAGUUAGGAGAAGUUAGAACAGUUAGAAUAUGAGGAAAUGAAAAAUAACAGUGAGGGAUCAACCAGGAAAAAAUCGUCAGGGUCAGGCUUUAGUUAAAAAUCCAUGAGGGAGGGCAAAACGCAACCAUCUGUUCUUAAACAUGAGACAAAAUUUGUAGCUCUUAAAGUCAAAACAUGGAUGCUAAAACAGAGUAACAGAAGAUUUGCCUAAUGAAAUUAAAGCAAACACACAAUUUGUUUUAUGAAUGCAUCCGUCAUCUCUGAGGCUAGAGAUCUGCGCUGAUGAUUGGAAGGUUGCCAGUUUGAAUCCCGUAAACGACAGAAGCGAAUCCACUAUGCCUGCAACUGCUGCCUCCUGGGUAUGGCGUUAUUCUAAAAUCCAGUCCUCUAACUUGCAUGGAAAACUUGGGGGUUGGUGGCAGGACUGGCACUCCAGCCAUUGUAAAAAAAUCUCACACCGGUUCAGUGUGGUGCUGAGGUGUCACCCGUUGCACUCGGCUCCCAAUCCAGGAGGUUUGGUGUGUGGUGGAUGGAGCAAAGUGCUAUCAGCGCAGCUCCCAACCUCUCUCUUCACCUUGGGGAUUCUGUGAGCUGCCAUCAUAAAUAGCUGCAGUGUUGUGAUGGCACAAGUCGUGUGUCCUCAUGAGUGAGAACAGCAGAUUUGGACAUGGCCAAGGAAAACAAGCUUUAAAAUGGAAACAAUCACUAGGUGAUACACAGAGGAUUAUACUGGGACGACACUGUAUUAAAUAAUUUUUAAUUUGUAGUAACAACUAGUGGACAAAAAUGAAUUGCAAAAAUAACAAAAAAAAAUUAAGAUAAGCAGCUGUUGAUAUUUCUUAUGUUUUCUUAAUAGUUACAUCUUACAGUCCCUCGAGAAGUUUUGAUGUAUUUUAUUGCUUGUGGUGGCUCAUACAGAGGAAGCUGAAUGUUUCCAUCUUGACUUACCUUGACUCUUACAUUUGGUCUGCUGUACUUUUCCAGAUAUUGCAUUUUCUUUGUGUUUAUCUUGUUACAUGCAACUGUUUACUCUGUGGGAUGGGCUUUGGGUGAAAUAAAUGUUAUAUACUGUAUUUAUUUUUUUUUAAUUCAACAGUGUAAAUGGUAAUGGGAUCAGUAAGGAGGAGAAGAACCACCUGAAGUCCCUAGAGAAGGAGCUGAACAGAUGUGGAGAGCGAGUGAGGAUCAAAGCAUGAGAAAAUCAGCUUUGGUAGCGCAUCAUGAACAUUAGAACAAGCUGGACGAGAACAGGCCAUUCAGCCCAUCAAAGCUUGCCAGCCCUGUUGACAUUUGCCAACAUAAGCACGGGUCAAUGACACUGAGGAUGACAAGAGAAACCUGAAGGCCCGAAGAAGAGGAGCUGACUAAACAGAUGUGGGGACGGUAGGUGGAACUCACUACACAAGACCACCAGCUUUGUGGAUCCAAUUAAACUGCUAGAGUUGUGUCUACUGUCAACUGGCUGUAGUUUCUACAUUUGGUUGAUCAGAUUUUUCAACUUUUUAUCCAAAAAAGAAAGUUCAAUAGCUGUGGAUACCUCAGUGGUAAAAUGGACUUCG